GACGAACCGUCCAAACGUUGUUCGGAAUUACUGGGCUUAAAGGGCGCGUAGGCGGCUGCUCAAGUCGGUGGUGAAAUCUUUCGGCUCAACCGGAAAAGUGCCGCCGAUACUGGGGAUCUCGAGGGAGGUAGGGGUCGAGGGAACUUCCGGUGGAGCGGUGAAAUGCGUAGAUAUCGGAAGGAACGCCAGUGGCGAAAGCGCUCGACUGGACCUCUGCUGACGCUGAGGCGCGAAAGCCAGGGGAGCAAACGGG
rnacentral:rRNA from 1 species